GGGCCCGCACAAGCGGUGGAGCAUGUGGUUUAAUUCGACGCAACGCGAAGAACCUUACCAGGUCUUGACAUCUUUCUGAAUGGGGUAGAGAUAUUCCAGGCCUUUCGGGGACAGGAGGACAGGUGGUGCAUGGUUGUCGUCAGCUCGUGUCGUGAGAUGUUGGGUUAAGUCCCGCAACGAGCGCAACCCUUGUUGCUAGUUGUCAGCACGUAAUGGUGGACCCUCUAGCGAUACUGCCGGUGACAAACCGGAGGAAGGUGGGGAUGACGUCAAAUCAUCAUGCCCUUUAUGACCUGGGCUACACACGUGCUACAAUGGCCUAUACAAAGGGAAGCAAGACCGCGAGGUGGAGCAAAUCCCAUAAAGUAGGUCUCAGUUCGGAUCGCAGGCUGCAACUCGCCUGCGUGAAGUCGGAAUCGCUAGUAAUCGCGGAUCAGAAUGCCGCGGUGAAUACGUUCCCGGGCCUUGUACACACCGCCCGU
rnacentral:rRNA from 1 species